rnacentral:lncRNA from 1 species
CUUAUUUGGUGUGCGUUAUUGGUUUACGUAUUCAUGUUGAUUGGGUAAUUGAGACUAAGAAAAAUAAGGAUGGUAUGUGAAUUUAUGAACGGAUAAGUCGACAGCCUCACUAGAUAUCCUGGGAGAUGGUGGACGGACCAGGUCCAUAGGGAACCCUACCAGGAACGUGGUCUCUCAUAUCGGACGGGGUAUGGAGAUUUUAUGUGUUUUGGUGCCUAUACCGGACGGGGUAUGGGGACAGCCCGUUUCACCCUCAUACCGGACGAGGUAUUGAGGUUUAUGGUUUUGGCGCCCAUACCGAACGGGGUAUGGGGACGGCUCUGGAAUUAAGUUAUU